CCCCUCCUCACCCACAUAAAGCGGCAGUGACUCCUUUUCUAGGCGUACUUCUUCGGUGCUGAAUCUUUCAAUAGGUGAUGGGGCUGAAGACUGAGGAAAUCGAGCUUGAGUAACCUGGGAUGUUUUGCCUCCGUGUGUCAAAAUAAUGGAAAGGUGCAAGAAGGAUGUAGGUUCUUUUUCUGACAGGGCUUCUGUCCCUUUAAUUAGUGGAUAUUAAAUAAAUGUAUUUCCACAUCACUGUAUCACUAUGUUGGGAAAAGCUGAAUCUUUUCAACUUUUAGCUGUCAGUUGUCAAGGAAAAGGAACACAGCUGGAAAGAGUUGGUGCUGGUAAUGGUAGGUAUUUAAAAGAGGACUUCAGAGUAGAUCAGGAAAGCAAGAACAGGAUCUGGAGAGGGGUGCUUUCACAAUUGUCCCUGUCCAGAAGCAAAUUCCUUUUUAUGGCUUGGCUCUGCCUUGUCAGAACACAGGCUAAUGAAAUCAUCAACUAGAUACUUGGGCUGAGGGCAGAAAGCAUUGCAUGGAAAGCACAAACACACUGGUUGUUUUUAAUGGUUCUGCAUUUUACCCUCACUCGUCAUUCUGUCACGAGGAUGGAUCUGGUAAGAAUGGCUCUAAUGGGUUUGAGGCAGUGAAACUCUUACCUGCUGUGUUUUCUUCUUUUUGCUGCCCCACGUCUUUAAUUCAGAGAUUUGAGUGGACCAGAAGCCUAUAAAAUAAAAUAAAAUAGUAGAACGUAUUUACACAUUCUUUAAGCCAGGGUUGUGCAAUUUAUGACCAGCCAAUGCACCCUAUGACCAGCCAAUGCACCUACCAACCAAAUAUUGUUGCCUGCAUGGCUCACGGCAGCCCCCACACCUCAAAUCUGUUUGGCAGGAAGCAAAAGCAGGAAGGAGAUUUACUGAGCUCUUUGUGGGGCUGCCAUGGUUCACAGUAGUUAUUUAUUGUAUUUACGUACCAAAUUUAUACACUGCUCUGUAUCUAGCAAGAUUCCUGAGUGGCGAACAAAAAAAAAAAACAGUCAAAAUACAAAAUAAAAAUAUUUAAAGUCAGGUUAUGCCAAUAAAACGGUGGCUUGUCAUUCAAGAAAAACAUGUUUAAAUAAAAAUGGUUUUUGAGCUGCAUUUGGUUUAUUGGAUUACAAGUUGUGCAUGUUAGGUUUCUUUAAGGUCAAGUCCUGAAUUAGGACACCAAUGCCUGAAGCAAGUUUGGCAACUUGUGUAUCCUUUCAUGUCAAUAAAAGUAAAUUGAGCUGAGCUAAAAUAUAA